rnacentral:misc_RNA from 1 species
UCUCCGUUGGUGAACCAGCGGAGGGAUCAUUACAGAGUUGCAAAACUCCCUUAACCAUUGUGAACGUUACCCAAACCGUUGCUUCGGCGGGCGGCGCCCCGGCGCCCCCGGCCCCUCGCGGGCGCCCGCCGGAGGUACCCAAACCAUUGAUACUUUAUGGCCUCUCUGAGUCUUCUGUACUGAAUAAGUCAAAACUUUCAACAACGGAUCUCUUGGUUCUG